rnacentral:rRNA from 1 species
AGCUACCACUUGCAGAUGGACCCGCGGCGCAUUAGCUAGUUGGUGAGGUAACGGCUCACCAAGGCGACGAUGCGUAGCCGACCUGAGAGGGUGAUCGGCCACACUGGGACUGAGACACGGCCCAGACUCCUACGGGAGGCAGCAGUAGGGAAUCUUCCGCAAUGGACGAAAGUCUGACGGAGCAACGCCGCGUGAGUGAUGAAGGUUUUCGGAUCGUAAAACUCUGUUGUUAGGGAAGAACAAGUACCGUUCGAAUAGGGCGGUACCUUGACGGUACCUAACCAGAAAGCCACGGCUAACUACGUGCCAGCAGCCGCGGUAAUACGUAGGUGGCAAGCGUUGUCCGGAAUUAUUGGGCGUAAAGCGCGCGCAGGCGGUUUCUUAAGUCUGAUGUGAAAGCCCCCGGCUCAACCGGGGAGGGUCAUUGGAAACUGGGGAACUUGAGUGCAGAAGAAGAGAGUGGAAUUCCACGUGUAGCGGUGAAAUGCGUAAAGAUGUGGAGGAACACCAGUGGCGAA